rnacentral:rRNA from 1 species
AUUGAACGCUGGCGGCAUGCCUAACACAUGCAAGUCGAACGGCAGCACAGUGUGUAGCAAUACACAUGGGUGGCGAGUGGCGGACGGGUGAGUAAUACGUAGGAAUCUGCCCUAUAGUGGGGGAUAACCCGGGGAAACCCGGGCUAAUACCGCAUAAUCUCUAUGGAGCAAAGCUGGGGACCUUCGGGCCUCGCGCUAUGGGAUGAGCCUACGUCGGAUUAGCUAGUUGGUGGGGUAAAGGCCCACCAAGGCGACGAUCCGUAGCUGGCCGGGGAGGACGGCCAGCCACACUGGGACUGAGACACGGCCCAGACUCCUACGGGAGGCAGCAGUGGGGAAUAUUGGACAAUGGGCGCAAGCCUGAUCCAGCCAUGCCGCGUGUGUGAAGAAGGCCUUAUGGUUGUAAAGCACUUUAAGCGAGGAGGAGGCUACUUUAGUUAAUACCUAGAGAUAGUGGACGUUACUCGCAGAAUAAGCACCGGCUAACUCUGUGCCAGCCGCCGCAGUAAGAC